AAAUGCUUUCAGUUGCCACAGUGACAGAGGUGAUGAAGCACAGGGAGAAACAGGCUUUAUAUAUUUCUGUCAGGGUGACAGACAACUUCAGGUAGAACAGGUGAACUGCAGUGCAAAAAGUAACAUAAGACAAACAACCUGCGAUGUGCUGUUGCAGCUCAGCCACGCUGUCUCAGCUUGUGAACUGCAGCGCGCUGGAGUCUCUGCACUGCAGCAAGCUGGAGAUGGACAAAUACAAGCGAGAAUCACGGGAGAG